UCUCGAGUGACUUGCUCUUUGUAAUGUGGACUUCUGGUGCUUUCUGUUUAAGCUUGUUAAGUUUAUUUUGAAACUUUCCUCAUACCGUGAUGUGGCUUGCUCGGCAGAUUUGAGCAUUUUGCCAGAAGUCUCAACCAUCACAGCAGUCUGUGUCAACGAAUUUGUUCAUUUUGCAAGACAUCAGAUUCACAAGUAUUUUGUGAGACAGCUGACUUCUGAAUUCUGUCUUAAUGUGAUGCACCAUGCUGAAUGCCCUUUCUACAUCACAAUUAGAAUUUGGCAGCACCAAAAGCAGCUUCAUCAACUGGCAGAGCUCUUUGAAUCUCUACUGCCCUGUGCUCACAGAUUUUACUUUGGACAGCUUCCCCCAGAACUCAUCAACUGGCAAACUUUUGUAGUUUGGCACCAGUCCUUCAAGGUAAGGGGGCAGAUAAAAGGCACCUGCAAACUUCUUUCCAGCUGUUAAAAAAAGCAUGGAGGAAUUUCAGAGAUCCAUGUCCAGAGGGACGUCCCUUCCAAUACAGAUUUCAUGUAAGAUGGCAACAAGUUCAAAUGCAGCUGCUUUUACAAGACAGACUCGACUUCAGAUCUGGAAAUUUAAUCACAAGUGGUCACACCUCUUCCUAAAAUGAAGAUAAUGAAACAAAGCAGGAUUGUAUUCCCUGAAAAUUGAAGUGCCUUUAUCAAAGUUUUGAAGGAAAAGUGGACUGAAAGAAAUUACUUACAGAUUGAGAAAUGCACAUUGUUGCCAUGUUGAUGGAAACACAAAAUUACAAUAAAUUACAAAAAGUG